AAAAAAAAAAACACGUGUAUAACCUACCUAUAAGACUGGGAUAACUUCGGGAAACCGGAUCUAAUACCGGAUAAUAUAUUGAACCGCAUGGUUCACUAGUGAAAGACGGUUUUUCUGUCACUUAUAGAUGUAUCCGCGCCGCAUUAGCUAGUUGGUCAGGUACCGUCUUACCAAGGGAACGAUGCGUAGCCGACCUGAGAGAGUGAUCGGCCACACUGGAACUGAGACACGGUCAAGACUCCGAAGGGAGGCAGCAGUAGGGAAGUGUCAGCCAGGGGCGAAAGCCGGACGGAGCAACGCCGCGUGUGUGAUGAAGGUCUUUUUUUUUU
rnacentral:rRNA from 1 species